rnacentral:rRNA from 1 species
GACGAACGCUGGCGGCGUGCUUAACACAUGCAAGUCGAACGGAAAGGCCCUGCUUGCAGGGUACUCGAGUGGCGAACGGGUGAGUAACACGUGGGUGAUCUGCCCUGCACUUCGGGAUAAGCCUGGGAAACUGGGUCUAAUACCGGAUCGGAGCCAUUUUUAGUGUGAUGGUUGGAAAGUUUUUUCGGUGUAGGAUGAGCUCGCGGCCUAUCAGCUUGUUGGUGGGGUAAUGGCCUACCAAGGCGGCGACGGGUAGCCGGCCUGAGAGGGUGGACGGCCACAUUGGGACUGGGAUACGGCCCAGACUCCUACGGGAGGCAGCAGUGGGGAAUAUUGCACAAUGGGCGCAAGCCUGAUGCAGCGACGCCGCGUGGGGGAUGACGGCCUUCGGGUUGUAAACUCCUUUCGCUAGGGACGAAGCUUUUUGUGACGGUACCUAGAUAAGAAGCACCGGCUAACUACGUG